GUGCCAGCAGCCGCGGUAAUACGGAGGGUGCGAGCGUUAAUCGGAAUUACUGGGCGUAAAGCGCAUGCAGGUGGUUUGUUAAGUCAGAUGUGAAAGCCCGGGGCUCAACCUCGGAAUAGCAUUUGAAACUGGGAGACUAGAGUACUGUAGAGGGGGGUAGAAUUUCACGUGUAGCGGUGAAAUGCGUAGAGAUCUGAAGGAAUACCGAUGGCGAAGGCGGUCCCCCCUCCGACAGCAUACUGACACUCAGAUGCGAAAGCGUGCGGAGCAAACAGCAUUACAUACGCCUGGUAGUUC
rnacentral:rRNA from 1 species